rnacentral:rRNA from 1 species
UACGAAGGGGGCUAGCGUUGCUCGGAAUUACUGGGCGUAAAGGGCGCGUAGGCGGCAUGUUAAGUCGGCUGUGAAAGCCCGGGGCUCAACCCCGGAGGGUCGGCCGAUACUGGCAAGCUAGAGUACAGAAGAGGUAGCUGGAAUUCCCGGUGUAGCGGUGAAAUGCGUAGAUAUCAGGAGGAACACCGGUGGCGAAGGCGGGUCUCUGGGCCGAUACUGACGCUGAGGAGCGAAAGCGUGGGGAGCAAACAGG